GAUUAUCACCGAUAAAACCAUCGUGAUGGCAGGUUCAGUUACCGAUAACUUCUCAACCCGCGAAACGUCUGGCGUGAUCCGUGGUUUUGAUGUCAACACCGGGGAGCUGCUGUKGUGCCCUUGAGGCGUGGCUUCCGGAGCUAACGCGUUAAGUCGACCGCCUGGGGAGUACGGCCGCAAGGUUAAAACUCAAAUGAAUUGACGGGGGCCCGCACAAGCGGUGGAGCAUGUGGUUUAAUUCGAUGCAACGCGAAGAACCUUACCUGGUCUUGACAUCCACAGAACUUUCCAGAGAUGGAUUGGUGCCUUCGGGAACUGUGAGACAGGUGCUGCAUGGCUGUCGUCAGCUCGUGUUGUGAAAUGUUGGGUUAAGUCCCGCAACUAGCGCAACCCUUAUCCUUUGUUGCCAGCGGUCCGGCCGGGAACUCAAAGGAGACUGCCAGUGAUAAACUGGAGGAAGGUGGGGAUGACGUCAAGUCAUCAUGGCCCUUACGACCAGGGCUACACACGUGCUACAAUGGCGCAUACAAAGAGAAGCGACCUCGCGAGAGCAAGCGGACCUCAUAAAGUGCGUCGUAGUCCGGAUUGGAGUCUGCAACUCGACUCCAUGAAGUCGGAAUCGCUAGUAAUCGUGGAUCAGAAUGCCACGGUGAAUACGUUCCCGGGCCUUGUACACACCGCCCGUCACACCAUGGGAGUGGGUUGCAAAAGAAGUAGGUAGCUUAACCUUCGGGAGGGCGCUUACCACUUUGUGAUUCAUGACUGGGGUGAAGUCGUAACAAGGUAACCGUAGGGGAACCUGCGGUUG
rnacentral:rRNA from 1 species